GGCUGCGACCUUAGCAUUAAGUAGAGAGAAAAUGAAACCAGAAGAACGGAAAUGAGCCCAAGAAUUUUAGAGGGAAAAAUCUGAGAGUAGUAGACGGAGAAAGAGAUGAAUCGUCGUUGAUGAUCGAUGUUGAAGGUGAAACAUUCUGCUAAGAAAGCUCCACAUCGAUUGUGGAGUCAAUGAGCACCAGAGAUCUGCCCGCGGGGACAAUGUAGGGAUUUGUAGUCGUUGAUUCAUUGGCGGCCGAUCGGAUGGAUAGCGGCGGCGUGAAUUUCAAUUUCUGGAUCUAAGGCAACACAUAGGAGCUUAGGUGUUAAGUGGAAGCUGGGGUGUCAGUAGCCGAACGCUGGAGCAGAAUGCAUGGUUUGAAUUUCUAUUCCCCACUAAAUCUGCAAUUAGUUUCUGUUUACUACUUGCUAUUUGAUAUUUGAUUUAUAGUUAUUAACUGCUUAACUCAUUGUGUUCUUUUGCUAGUCUAGUUUUUUGAUUCUUUUGUAUAGGGGAAGUUUCAAUCUAUUAAACAUAUUGUCGUUUUGGAAAAUAUGAGAAUACAAUGAGCUAACCAAUCCUCAUUUCUUCAACUCUAUCUCCAUUCUACUAUUUUUUCUCACAAAUUCUCUUCUGCAAUCUCUGCUACUUACUCCCUUUUUCUUCCUAAGUUACAUCUGUGCAGAUUCAUGACUCUAGGAACCUGAUAUUUUGGUGUUAUAGCUAUUCAAACCUCGGCAACUAGGAUUUCUUCUUCUUCAUUUUCUUUCUCUCAUCAACAUCAUGUUUCUCUCAAAAUCUCUCUUCCUUCUUAUGUGAUUUAUUCCUAUUUUGUUUGCUUCUCUCCUCUCUCUAGAAUUCUGUCUGUAAAUGCCACGGGAACAAGCCAUAUAGUGACUUAGCAAAUUGAGGGCUCCACGGGCGUGGAAAGCUCAGAAAUAAGAUGUAUUUCAUUAUUUGAAAUUAGAAAAGUUUUACAAUUUUCUCGCUCCUACCUCUUGCAAAAUGCAAAUUUCCUAACUCUUAAAGGAGUUAGGAGAUUGACGGAGCAGGACCUAGGAUUAGAACAAUAUGCACUGGAUGUGCAUAAAAAAUUUUUGUUGAGGAAUGUGUUACACAAUAGGUUAUGAUGACAAUAAUUAUGUUAGUGAGGACAAAUUUUGAAUCUGAUUUGAAAGGUGAAACGUAGUUUUUUGUAAAGUAUGGAUGUUUGAUAACUUUAAUGGAACUGAAGUAGAAAAAGGGUUAUAUCAUAUCGAACUGGUUGGGAAUAGAUGUGAUUCAAUGAAUGACAACCGGUGUUUGUUAAAAUUUCUCAACCAAAAGGUUAGGCUGAGAAUCAUAUUGAAAUGACAAUUUUAGAAGCUGUUACUUCCAAGAAUUUACUAGAAUUCCUUUACAAGAGUGUACCCUUAGUGAUGUUUGGAUGCAUGUGAAACAUCAUUCAUAUAAGCAAUUGAUGCUCGUCUUCUGCCAAACUGUUGAACAGUGGAAGUGCACUAGCAUCUGAGUUUGAUGUGCUCAACAACAGGCCACCAAAAGACUCAUAUAUGAUUGAUGAUGCAAGUGUUCUUGGUAGACUUAUGUCAAACCCAAUAAAUUACAACCAGGAAAGAAGAAGUCAGUUAAGUUAGUUAAGGAAAGAAUACACCAUAGUAAGAUAUAUUUUCUUUUUGUCCCUUUAAUUUAGUUAUUCUACAUUGUUGUUUCCAGAUGCAAGGUGGUUACUGCCUGUGUGCCGUUAGGACCACUCUGCCGUGCAGAACUAGGGUUGCAUGUACUACAUAUCACCGACCAAUGGCUAGAAAUAAGCCAUCUCUGUUGUAAAGAAUUAUGAAUCCAUAAAAACAUUUUCACUA